UACGUAGGGAGCAAGCGUUGUCCGGAAUCAUUGGGCGUAAAGCGCGCGUAGGUGGCUUCGUAAGUCCGUUGUGAAAGUCAAAGGCUCAACCUUUGAAAGCCGAUGGAUACUGCGGAGCUAGAGUACGGAAGAGGCGAGUGGAAUUCCUGGUGUAGCGGGUGGAAUGCGCAGGAAUAUCAGGAGGAACACCAAUAGCGAAGGCAGCUCGCUGGGACGUUACUGACACUGAGGCGCGAAAGCGUGGGGAGCGAACAGG
rnacentral:rRNA from 1 species